rnacentral:tRNA from 1 species
GAGAGAUGGCUCAGUGGUAAGAGCACUGGCUUUCCUUCAGAGAGGACCUGGGUUCGAUUCCCAGCACUCA